rnacentral:rRNA from 1 species
UACAGAGGGUGCAAGCGUUAAUCGGAAUUACUGGGCGUAAAGGGCGCGUAGGCGGUCUGUUAAGUUCGGUGUGAAAGCCCCCGGCUCACCUGGGGAACUGCGCCGGAAACCGACAGACUCGAGUACCGGAGAGGAGGGUGGAAUUCCUGGUGGUAGCGGUGAAAUGCGUAGAUAUCAGGAGGAACACCGGUGGCGAAGGCGGCCCUCUGGGACGGAUGACUGACGCUGAGGCGCGAAAGCCGUGGGGAUCAAACAGG